rnacentral:rRNA from 1 species
UUCUUCCUCUUGAUCGAAUCCGUAACCUGCAUUAGCAGAGCCUUAUGUCAAGACCUACGGGCUAAGGGACAGUCUCAGGUAGACAGUUUCUAUGGGACGUAGGCCUCCCAAAGGGUAACGGAGGCAUGCAAAGGUUUCAUUGGGUUGGACGGAGAUUGGUCCUCGAGUGUAAAGGCAGAAGGGAGCUUGAUUGCAAGACCCACCCGUCGAGUAGGGACGAAAGUUGGCCUUAGUGAUCUGACGGUACCGAGUGGAAGGGCCAUCACUCAACGUAUAAAAGUUACUCUAAGGAUAACGGGCUGAUCUUCCCAAGAGCUCACAUCGACAGGAAGGUUUGGCACCUCAAUCUCGGCUCUUCGCCACCUGGGGCUGUAGUAUGUUCCAAGGGUUGGACUGUUCGUCCUUUAAAGCGGUACGUGAGCUGGGUUCAGAACGUCAUAAGACAGUUCGGUCCAUAUCUGGUGUGGGAAUUAGGGCAUUGAGAGGACCUUUCCCUAGUAGGAGAGGAUUGGGAAGGACACACCUCUGGUGUACCAGUUAUUGUGCCCAAGAUAAACGCUGGGUAGCCAAGUGCGGAGCGGAUAACCAUUGAAAGCAUCUAAGUAGUAAAUUCACCCCAAGAUGAGUGCUCUUCUAUUCCAACUUCCCCAGAGCUUUCGGUAGCACAGUCGAGACAGCGACGGGUUCUUUAAGUUAUGUAUGGCCGUGCCUAAGGGCA